rnacentral:rRNA from 1 species
GACGAACGCUGGCGGCGUGCCUAAUACAUGCAAGUUGAGCGCUGAAGGUUGGUACUUGUACCGACUGGAUGAGCAGCGAACGGGUGAGUAACGCGUGGGGAAUCUGCCUUUGAGCGGGGGACAACAUUUGGAAACGAAUGCUAAUACCGCAUAAAAACUUUAAACACAAGUUUUAAGUUUGAAAGAUGCAAUUGCAUCACUCAAAGAUGAUCCCGCGUUGUAUUAGCUAGUUGGUGAGGUAAAGGCUCACCAAGGCGAUGAUACAUAGCCGACCUGAGAGGGUGAUCGGCCACAUUGGGACGGAGACACGGCCCAAACGCCUACGGGAGGCAGCAGGAGGGAAUCGUCGGCAAGGGACGAAAGUCUGACCGAGCAACGCCGCGUGAGGGAAGAAGGGUGUCGGAUCGUAAAACUCGGUUGGUAGAGAAGAACGUUGGUGAGAGUGGAAAGCUCAUCAAGUGACGGUAACUACCCAGAAAGGGACGGCUAACUACGUG